GCAGCACACAAACCCAAAGAUCAUUGUUUCUAUAUAUAUAUGAUGCUCUUGCUAUGUGUGCGCAAAGAAACAGGACCUUGUCGCCUUUCAUGAGUUCUUGUGUCAUUGGAAGUGAAUUCAAGGUUCAACAUCA